CACGUAGGCGGCGAGCGUUGUCCGGAUUUACUGGGCGUAAAGCGCGUGUAGGCGGCUUGGCAAGUCGGAUGUGAAAGCCCACGGCUCAACCGUGGAAGCGCAUCCGAAACGGCCUCGCUCGAGUCUCGGAGAGGAAUGUGGAAUGCUUGGUGUAGAGGUGAAAUUCGUAGAUAUUGGGAAGAACACCGGUGGCGAAGGCGGCCAUCUGGACCGAGACUGACGCUGAGGCGCGAAAGCGUGGGGAGCAAACAGG
rnacentral:rRNA from 1 species